AGAUGAAUAUGUAAAAAGCCUCGUAUAUCAUGGGAAUAAGGCCCAUAAGUUUCUACCCAAUUACCGUAAAUAAUUGGACUAUGAGGAAAGUGGAAUUUGGG
rfam:Bacillus sp. VT-16-64 NODE_72, whole genome shotgun sequence.